rnacentral:rRNA from 1 species
UAGGGAAUCUUGCACAAUGGACGAAAGUCUGAUGCAGCGACACCGCGUGAAGGAUGAAGGUUUUCGGAUUGUAAACUUCUUUUAACUGUGACGAUUAUGACGGUAGCAGUUGAAUAAGCCCCGGCUAACUACGUGCCAGCAGCCGCGGUAAUACGUAGGGGGCAAGCGUUAUCCGGAAUUACUGGGCGUAAAGGGCGUGUAGGUGACCUGAUGGGUCUUUGCUCAAAGCCCGCGGCUUAACCGCGGGAAGGGCAGAGAAACCGGCAGGAUAGAGGACUUUAGAGGUGGGCGGAAUUCCCGGUGUAGCGGUGAAAUGCGUAGAUAUCGGGAGGAACGCCAAUGGCGAAGGCAGCUCACUGGAAAGUACCUGACACUGAGGCGCGAAAGCGUGGGUAGCGAACGG